GACGAACGCUGGCGGCGUGCUUAACACAUGCAAGUCGAACGGAAAGGCCCUGCUUUUGUGGGGUGCUCGAGUGGCGAACGGGUGAGUAACACGUGGGUAACCUGCCCUUGACUUUGGGAUAACUUCAGGAAACUGGGGCUAAUACCGGAUAGGAGCUCCUGCUGCAUGGUGGGGGUUGGAAAGUUUCGGCGGUUGGGGAUGGACUCGCGGCUUAUCAGCUUGUUGGUGGGGUAGUGGCUUACCAAGGCUUUGACGGGUAGCCGGCCUGAGAGGGUGACCGGCCACAUUGGGACUGAGAUACGGCCCAGACUCCUACGGGAGGCAGCAGUGGGGAAUAUUGCACAAUGGGCGGAAGCCUGAUGCAGCAACGCCGCGUGCGGGAUGACGGCCUUCGGGUUGUAAACCGCUUUCGCCUGUGAUGAAGCGUGAGUGACGGUAAUGGGUAAAGAAGCACCGGCUAACUACGUG
rnacentral:rRNA from 1 species